CGGGGCGUGGCGCAGCCUGGCGAGCGCGCCUGCCUUGGGAGCAGGAGGUCGGCGGUUCAAAUCCGCCCGCCCCGACCA
rnacentral:tRNA from 1 species